CCUACGGGUGGCUGCAGUGGGGAAUAUUGGGCAAUGGGCGCAAGCCUGACCCAGCAACGCCGCGUGCAGGAAGACGGCUUUCGGGUUGUAAACCUCCUUUUAGAGGGAGGUGAAGAAGACGGUACCUCUUGAAUAAGCCACGGCUAACUACGUGCCAGCAGCCGCGGUAAUACGUAGGUGCGAAGUGUUGUCCGGGUUUACUGGGUGGAAAGGGCGUGCAGCCGGGAAGACAAGUCAGAUGUGAAAUCCCGCGGCUCAACCGCGGAACUGCGUUUGAAACUGUUUGUCUUGAGAACCGUAGAGGUCAGCGGAAUUCAUUGUGUAGCGGUGAAAUGCGUAGAGAUAAGGCAGAACACCGAUGGCGAAGGCAGAUGACUGGACGGCAACUGACGGUGAGGCGCGAAAGCGUGGGGAGCAAACAGGAUUAGAUACCCUAGUAGUC
rnacentral:rRNA from 1 species